rnacentral:rRNA from 1 species
CAGUCGCCACGGUAAUACGUAGGUGGCAAGCGUCGUCCGGAAUUAUUGGGCGUAAAGGGCUCGCAGGCGGUUUCUUAAGUCUGAUGUGAAAGCCCCCGGCUCAACCGGGGAGGGUCAUUGGAAACUGGGAAACUUGAGUGCAGAAGAGGAGAGUGGAAUUCCACGUGUAGCGGUGAAAUGCGUAGAGAUGUGGAGGAACACCAGUGGCGAAGGCGACUCUCUGGUCUGUAACUGACGCUGAGGAGCGAAAGCGUGGGGAGCGAACAGGAUUAGAUACCCCGGUAGUCCCUGUCUCUUAUAC